UUUCGCAAUGCCCGAAAGGGUGACGAAGCGACGCCGCGUGGGUGAGGAAGGCCUUCGGGUUGUAAAGCCCUGUCAGGAGUUAAGAAAUAUAGGUACGCUAAUAUCGUAACUAUUUGACAAAGGCUCCAAAGGAAGCCACGGCUAACUCUGUGCCAGCAGCCGCGGUAAUACAGAGGUGGCAAGCGUUGUUCGGAAUUAUUGGGCGUAAGGAGCACGUAGGUGGAUUUGUAAGUCAGGUGUGAAAGCCUUCUGUUCAACGGAAGAAUUGCAUCUGAAACUACAAACCUUGAGUAUAGGAGGGGAGAAUGGAACUUCUGGUGGAGCGGUGAAAUGCGUAGAUAUCAGAAGGAACGCCGGCGGCGAAAGCGAUUCUCUGGCCUAUUACUGACACUCAGUGUGCGAAAGCUAGGGGAGCAAACGGGAUUAGAUACCCCGGUAGUCCUAGCCGUAAACGAUGGGCACUAAGUAGAGGGGUUUU
rnacentral:rRNA from 1 species